AGCAUAUUUACAGAUCCUCUGACAAGGUUUCUUUCUUGGCAUUUUUGGGAUUUUGGGGUAGAUAGUUCUUUGGAGACUGUUACAUACAUGGUAGGUAGUUUAGCAGCAGAGCUGGCCUCUACCCACUAGAUGUCAGUAGCAACCCCCAGUUGUGACACCCCCCAAAAUGUCUCCAUUCCCACAUGUCUUGGGUGGGAACGGGAAGGUGGAUUAUGGUGGCAUGGUGGGUGGGGGUUGCCCCUGUUGAGAACCCCUGGACUAACAGUUUUCUCACUUUAUAAUUGAAGAACAGGUAGACAGAGGAACAAUCAUUAUACAUGUUUGCACCAUUGUAUCAAACUGUUCUCUAGAUUCUCCUGGAGGACAUAAUCACAAAACAUGGAUAAUUAUGUCUACUAAUAUUUUAUAGUUUGAAACUGAAUGCUUAAAAGGUUUUGGAAAUAAGAAUAUAGGCUUUUAUGGACCAAAUUAUUUAGAUGGCCUCUCCUGUGAAUAUUGAUUGCAAGAAGAAAGAGUGUUCACUGUUGGCUCUUGGAAUGCAGACUAACACUCCACCGGCAUGCUUUUGGACUUUGGGGAGAACUGGAAAGUAGUUGUUAAGACAAUGAGAUCCUGUGGGUUUGUUGAUUUCUAGUAAGAGCAUUAUUUUGAGAUUGCUUUCUCUUGGUAUUUCCUGUGAUGGAGUUGGCCAAAAUGAAGAAGAAAAAUACUGCUAAGAAUUCACCAUCACUAAAGACUACUGGGAAGGCAGCCAAACUGGCAAAGGAACAGAAGGCUACUAGCAUCUUUUUAACUAGUGGGAAGAAUACUAAGUUCAUUUUGGUAAUGCCUUUCUCUGUCACCAUCUGCUAGAGAUUUAUAACAAUAUACUGUUGCAAAUCCUGUUAUAUCUUAAAACAGUUGGCAGAAAUGAGGGAGAGAGAGAGAGAUAGAAGGGACUAAAAGGACAGUGUACAUUAAAAAAUUUGGCAAAGUUUUUUGCUAAAUAUAUCUUAAUGGUAGCAUCACUAACUCUUUUGGUGUUUUAUCGAAUAAUGUCUUACUAUUCGCAUGUUUUUCCUAAAAGCAUAAGUUUUAGAUGUACUAGAAGAAGAAUGUGGGGAAGACUUUCCUAAGUUUUAGCAGUAAAGCUGGCCUAUGCAGUAGUUCAUAGAUGGUUUUAGGUUGGACAGUGAUAUAUAUGGGUGAAAUAUGUUUUCUAGAUUCAACAAAUCUUCUCUCUAACACUUUUUGUCGAUGUUAGCCAGUGGAAUUAUCUCAUAGGUAAGACUUCUAAAAAGAUAUCUUUUCAUAUCUUAGGAAAUUGUUCACUCUUUCCUCAUGGAAUCCAGUGCAAGUGUUCCUUAUUUUUAUUUCAUUUAGUGGCAAGUGAUGUUGGAACAGCAUGAAGAUAGAAAAUGAGAUAGAGGGGAUUGUAGGACCCUGGUCUCUUCCCCUUCCUCUCUCUCACAUCCUGACCAUAGGUGAAUGGUUUUGCUAUGUGGUCCUGCUAUGAUGUACUGUUCUGCCACAGGAACAAGAGCAGUGAGGCAACCAGUCAUGGGAUGAAGCCUACAGAACUGUGAGCCAAAAUGAACCUCUUCUCCACAUUAGCUGAUUGCUACAGAUUGAAAACAACAGCAGUAGCAACCACUAAACAUAAAGUUAUGCCCAGGGGCUGCUCCUCAUACUCUCAGAAACAAGUUGGUCCAGGAUGAUUUCCAGCUGUUCCUGUGCACACAGCGCCACUGGGAGACAGAAUAGCUGGUCUCAUGGCCAUGGACAGGCUAGAGGAAAGAGUAGGUUCUGAGGUUUGCAUUUGGUGAGAGUAUGUUGCCCUCCACAUGGCAAAGAUUCAGGAAUGAAUAAAGACAAGGAAAGGAAUGAGCAGAAAUGAAAAUCAUUAUUGAGAGAAACUUGGGCAUCUGCUGUCAGAAUGAAAAGAAAAAGCCUCCAUCAACACAUGAAAGGAAGUCCAGACUGAGGGAAGGAAGAGUCUGCAAUUACACAGUACCAGGGUCAAUAUUCAGAAGCCUUGGAGUCUUCCAGCAGUUAUGGCCAAGAGGAGGACUUGCACCAACUUAUCACAGCAAGUGAAGCUUUUCUUGCACUGUAUUUCUUAAGGAAAUUCUCACACUGGACAAUCAGUGAGGGAACUGGACAAUUUUGUCAUUCACAGCUUUAGAGAGAACACAGAUCUCUGAUCUUCAGUUGCUUCCAUCAGUUCUUCCCAUCCUCCUGAGGCUUCUUAAGAAGUCAAGGGAUGGGGCUCUGGAAAUGUGCUUGAAGCCAGGUGGAGUUACCUUGUCUCCAUGGCAAAGACAGGCAGGUGCUCAGGGCCUUUGGAGAAACAGGAGGAUGUUUUUUUGUGACCAUUCCUUAGCCUUCCAUUUACUCUUGGACCUCUGUCUGUGACUAUGAAUAGCUUGGCCAUGCAGCACAGUAAGACACAUAUUCUACCUAACCAUCCCAUGAGCACAUUCACACUUGCCACAUGUGUGCACUCAGAUCAUUUCAAACAAUAAUCCCCCAAAUUCCCUGAGCAAUAUUUUCUCAUGUCACAGUGAACUGCUCUGAUUCUUAAAAUGCUAUCAAUUCUAUUUUUAAAGUGUUGCUUGUCACCAACUGAAAAAUUAAUUUCAUGACUCACAAUGGGUCAUGACUUGUGAUUUGAAAAACAGUACUCUGAAUCCUUUGUUCUCAACCAAGACAGCUGUUCAAACUUUACUCAUUUGUGUCCCUGGAUGAUAUAAUACAUACCCACUAAUGUAUAUAUGUGGUAAAAUAUCCUUAGUGAUUCUAGUGUGCCCCUUACCAUCCCCUAGCCAAUCCAAAGUGACAAGAUGCUAGGAAAAAUAAACAAAAGGGAGAGAAGAGGAAGAAUUUUUCCUAAGAUUUAGAGCACAGCUUGUCUUUUCUGUCCCAGAGAGUACCAGCUCCUAAUAAAAAAGAAGUUCUAGAUUCCAACUAGGACACAAGAAAGCUGGAUGUGAUGGCACAUGCCCGUUAUGCCAGAACUCUAGUAGGGUGAGGCAGGAGGUUCAAAAGUUUGUGUCUAACCUGAGCCACUCAGUGAGACCCUCUGUUAAAAGCUAAUUAACUAAAUAUAUUGAUAGAUGAAUAAAAAAUUUAAAAAGGGGCUGGAGUGUAGCUCAGUGCAAAGACUGUGUUUCAAUCUCCAUUAACACACACACACACACACACACACACACACUCACACCACAAGAUAUGAGUGAUUGCACUACAGUUUCCAGGAGAUAAAUUGAAUAUAUUCAUGUUGUAUAAAUGACACUAAAUCUGAGGUGAGUCCACCCUUACUUAAAGCUUGCCCUUUUAUCCUUUAUGUGUUUGAGAAAAGUUUUCCUUCAAGGCCAGAGUUCUAAAUGCAAUAGCAUGCAUGUGUUCUUGAAGGCAGAUGAUGACAGGGACCAACUCAAGCUAUAUCUCUACCUCCAUCUUUAUUGGAUGUCCGGAGACCUGAUAGGGUUUGAGCUAAGUGUUCCUGGAUUUUAACUUCCCAGGAUCCAUUAUACUAGGGUGGCCAGGACUUUUGCAGACAGCAUCUACACAGUACAGAAAUACACUGAAUCCAACACCCACAGGGCAGUAAUCUCUCUGGGUGUGAGCUUUCAGUCCACAGUUAAGCAGAUGGGAAGUGUAGGACUUAUCAUAUUUGAUGACUAACAUAUUUGAUACCCAAAGGAAUCAGUCUUUAAUAACUUUCUUUUAUGCGACCAAAUGAUUUCCACUAAUAAUUCAGAAAUGAAAUAAAAAUAUGAAUUGAAAAGAAAUGUUGAUAUUUUAAAAUUGAUCUUGAUAGGGUUAAUCAUGCUAGUAAAAAUAAAAUUAAAAACAUAAAAUAAAAUAAAUACUAUAGUACCAAAAAAGAGAAUUGUAGAUUAAAACAUUUAAUUACAGGAACAUGUAUUUUAAAAGUCUUGUAUGUCACAGUAAUGAGUAAUAACACAAUAACUUUAAUUUGUUUUUAAGCUCUAACUUCUCCAGAUUUGUCAAGGACAUUGUUAAAAUUGCUCUGUGCCUUCAUGUUCAGAGUUACUAGCAGAUAUGUCCAUCUAUCUUUGCUCAUAGUUGACUGAAGGACAUUUUUUAUUAAAUUGCAAUUUACAACUUUUCUUUCCUAUGAAGAGGCAGAUAUCUAAAAGAGGAAAAGGCUUAAAUGUAACAAUAGAUUUAUCAGAAGUUCUUAAAUGAUCCCAUUUCACAAGAAAAAUUCCAGAGACUUCAAUACUAUCCAUUUUGUUUUUUCUUUACUUCAAUUUUGAAAGCUUUCAAAUGUCUCUGCAUCCAAAAUUUUCCACUAAAAAUCUUUAGAGAAGACUAUCUUAAAUUUCUAUCAUUCAGUGAAAUCUGAAGUGUUCCAUCUUUUGCAACAAUCAAAGAAUGGCUGAACAGUAGUGAACAUCAGCACUAUUUAAAGCACUGUUUUAUGCUGAGCUACAAAGCUGAACAGACUCAAGUUUCGUUUCUUCAUCCUUACAUCCACUGUGCUAUUACCAUUUAUUAAGAAAUUGUGUGUGUGAUACCACAGUGAUUGGAGGGUCCAGACCACGACCAAAGGAAGCUUGAGCUACUGUGUGAUUGAAAGUUCUCUGAAUUAGCUGCCAUGUAGAAUAUGAUGGUUAUCACAGCAUAAGCAAUGCAAAGGUAAUGCUUUGGAGCUUAUGCAGUGUAUUGUUAACAUUCAGUGCUACCUGACGUUUAGAAUUAACAGUGUACUGUGACAUUACAAAGCAGACCAGCUUGUAUCUGUUUUUUGGUAAUGCUGGGGGUGGAACCCAGGGUCUUGUGUGCUAGGCAGGUAUUCUACCACUGAGCUACAUCCCCAGUUUGCUUGGUUUCCUCAUUCUCUAUUAAGUUCUGCACAGACAACCCCCUCCCUCGCCACCCCACCCCCCCAUUGCCUGCACUGGGGGGCUCAUCAGGAGUCCCAUUUCUGGUACAUCCUUGGGAACAAGACCUGGUGAAGAUUGGAAGAUUUGGUGCCUGACCUGUGUCCCAGUGUGAUGCUUACUCACUUCUGCCCGCCCCCCAGAUUGGUUCAGUGGCUCAUCCCUCUCAAGCUUCUUCUCCUUCUGUACCUCAGUGGUGAGCUUCUAACCUGGGAUUCUACUAUUUCUCUGUGGGUAGAGAGAGGGAGGUAGACAGGGAGAGAGAAAGAAGAAAAACAAGUUUAAUCUCCUGCAAGGCAUUUGCUACAAGGGACAUGAAUCUUCACCUUGUAUCGCAUUCUGGGUCUCCAAGACCUGAGCCAGCAGCAAUUGUUCUCUGUGGGUGUCGAGGGAAACUUGCUCUGCUGGAGCCCAGCCUCAGAUAAGAGGCAGCACGUGCCAGGGGCCUGCAUCCCAGCACUAUAUCCCCAGAGAAGUCACUGGUUGCUUGUGCAACUUCAGGCCAGAUACCAAGUCCUCUGUGUGGAGCAACGUCCUCAUGCAAGUGGCAUCAUAACAGUGCCCUCCUCACAGAAUCUCUGUGGGGACUAAAGGAGACCAUGUGUGCAAGGUGCCUAAUCCAUACCUGUGAAUAAAAGAACAUGCCAUAAAAAUUAGUUAGGACUUUUACUCUUCUGUAUAAUGAUAAUUAAAGACAUGAGGGAAAUACACGAAUACAGACAAUUCUUUCAUAGGUUUAGUAAAUAUUACAAAAGUUGUUAUUUCUGAGACUGACUUGAUUCUAGUUUAAGUGAAAACUGGUUUGUCUCAUUAGCAGUAUUCUUUUAUUUAUUUAUUUUUAUUUAUAUAUUUAUUGGUACAUUUUAGGUAUACAAUACAUUUACAUUUAUCAUUGGGUGUUUGUACCUGAACAUGAUGUAUCUUAGUUCUUAUUUUUUCUUCCAUUACCUGUGUGCCCUUCACCCCCUCAGCAGUAUUCUUUUAAAAGGCUACAUCAUUAGACAUUCUGACUCCAUGUACAAGGUGGGACUAGACUGAAUCUGAGUACAAAUGACAAGAGGAUCUGGGACCUCAAGUUACCUUUAACUGUGCAGCAAAUCACAUUUCUAUGAAAAUCCAGGGGAACAACUCACUUAGAGGAGAUGCCACAAGUGUGUGAGUGUGAGGAGCCAAUCUUCACCAGUGGAUUAGUACUUGAUGAGUUCAUAGCUGACUUGUUGUUCGGAGGGGGAUCCAGUUAGUUGGAACAGGUAGGUCACUGGGGGCCUGGCCUGGAAGGGUUUAUCUCUUCCUGGCUUCUUACUUCAUUCUGUCUCUGCCCAUGGAUGCCAGGGCCUGAGCAGCUCACACCACCAGGCCUCUCUGCCACCCUGCCUUGGAGCCAGCAGGAUGUGGACUGGGACCUCUACAAACUGUGAGGCAAAAAAACCUUUCUUCCCUUAAGGUGUGGGAGUAAGGUAUUUUGUCCCAGGGACAAAGAAAGUGACUAAAAUGGAGCUGUAACAUUUCAGGAAGUGUCCUCUCCUGGCUGCUGACUUUAGUUCCACACACCAGGGUCCUUUUUAUCCCUUUUGCCAGUGGCCACACAGCUGGGAAUAUUGAUUGUGCUGCUCUAGCUGGCAUUUUUAAGGAUAAGGGUUUUGUCUUUUCCUUCACUUGUUUUGUUGAACAGAGGCAAGUGUUAGAAGCUAGUGUGGGCUCACUUUCAUUUUAAGUCCAAAAUAACGUUUGUCACAGGAACAGCAAUACAAAAUGCAAAUAGGAAUAUUUUGAUGGAAUUUUUAUAGGAGUUGUUUUUAGUGUUUGUAUAUGGGAUAAGGUCAUUUUAAAGUAACGUUUAUCACCAGACACAAAAGAGCCUGUACUAUUCUUUUAAUAUAAAAUACUUAUUUAUUUAAAUGUUUAAAUAUUAAGAACUGCCAUGGACUUCUUCUGACAAGUGUCUAUUCAUUGCAUUUGCCCAUUUUUGAUUGGGUCUUUUAUUGUGAAUGGUCUAAGGUUUUUUUAGAUCUUUGUACAUCCUACAUAUUACCAGUCCUCUGUCUGAGGAAUAGCUGACAAAAUUUUUUCACAUUCUGUGGGUUUCCUUUUUCUCUGUUGAUUGUUUCCUUUGCUGUGUGGAAGCUUUUAAAUUUGAUAUGAUCCCAUUUGUUGAUUCUCAAUGCUAUUUCUUGUGCAAUUUGAGUUCUGUUCAGCAAGUCCUUGCCUGUGUCUGUGAAUUCAAGAGUUUUACCUGCAUUAUCUUCCAGCAGGCUAAGUGUUUCUGCUUCAAUAUUUAGGUCUUUGAAUCAACAUGUAGUAAUAAAAAAUUUUAAAAUAGUAAGAAUGAACACCAUGAUUUCUGACUAGCUAGCUAAAGAGAAUGCUUUAGGAGACAUGUCUGUAAAAAAAAGAUUCCUCAGGGAACCUUAAUAAAAUACAUUCUAUUUUUAUGUGGACUUCUAGGAAACUGGAAAAUUAAAACAUGCUUAAGAUGGUACAUCUGUGCUUAUAUGAUGCAUUGGAACAAAUGCAAUUGUAAUAAUAAAAGGGCAAUUCAGAGGUACAGCUGAGUUAUGCCACUGAUAGAAUUCUUAAAGAUAAAACUUUGGAUUCUGAUUUGGCUCAUCUCAGAUUUGUUUGAUGGAAAGUAGAAAAAUUGAGGGGAUGUAUUCUCUUUGUGUCACAUGUAUUUAUUUCCUCCUGCUAACAUAGUAAUUAUUUUUUCAGUGUAAUUCUGGAAGCAUUUAUUGAGUACCUACUAUGUACCAGAUAUUGUGUCAGGUGCUCUAGAUGACUCAAAAUUAAAUAAGAUGUACUUUACAUCAGUAAUCAAGACAUACAUUACUAACUGUGAUAUUUGUACGAAUGCUGUGAAUGCUACAGGCAAGUCUAUCUUGAUAGAGAGGUUCACAGGGAGGCAGAUUCUGUUGGUGCUGAAGCAAAGGAAGAAGUUUGAGCCCAGGGAUGUCUUGGAGGGUUUAGAGUGAUGGAGGAUGGACAGCAAGGACUCUGCACAGCAGAGUGAAGGGCAGAAUAGGUUACUGCAGGCCUUACCUGCAUGUUGGAGGCAUUGCCUCCCUUCCAAAGCAAUGGAAGAGCACCAGUGUUUAUAGAAGAGCAUGACAGGCAAGUUACUGGUGUUGAUUCCUAAUGGCCCCAAGUCUUCUGCAGGAGUAAAUGGCAGGAUUUCUGCUGAGCCCAAGAAUUUAGCAUUGAGAUUGGGGAUACUGGGGCAGUGUAGUCAAGUGCUUAAUAGUUGCUAUUUGGAUUGGAAAGGAAGCCAAUCAGUAAUGAAUAAAAGGACUGGUGAACUGCAUAUAGCAAAAGAUGGAAAAACAUUACAAAUUUAUCAUGCAGCCAAUUAGCACCAUUGUACCAACUUUCUGUGGUGACAUUCAACAGUCAAGGUGAAGACAGUUGUGUUGAAUUAUUGAUAAUUGCUAAUUUCAUAGGUGUAUGUUUUUGUUAUCCCCCUUGUCCCUCAAAUGCUGCUAGUUAUGCAUCUUUCAUCAAGAUCUGUAAGGAAGGCUAAAAUGUGCUGGUGUGUCCUGAAGGGUAGGGGUGGAAAUAUUUUACCAAGAGUAGACAUGACGCCUUUUUGACAAGAGACAAAUGUUUCAUUCAAAUGCUGCAUUUCGCAUAUUGGAAACUGUAAUGAAUUUCCAUGCACCCCUCUACUUAGUUCAUAAUGUCAUGCCCAGGCGUGGCAACACCUCAGGCUUUCCUCACAAAAUUAAAUUUAAUGUUACACCCUCCAGUAGAAUGGUGCAUAAAUCAAGCCUUUGAUUUGCAUGGACUGUAGCAAGCAGCUCUGUUCUGGACAAAUAUAAACCCGACUCUGAAUAUUAUGUCAGGGAGAGGAACAAAGCAAUCUAGGACUUCCAAUAAAAGUCGGGUACCCAGUGUAAUUCAUGCUGGUAUUACACUGCUCUGUGUCAAGCUUAUUAUUAAAACUCUUGUUUUAGCUUCCUUUUUUCAUUUCAAAAGAAAAUGUUUUUCUUGACCUUCCUGUAUUCAGAAAACCAGCACAUAGUCCAACCAGUACUAUUUAUAAACUGGUGUCUACUAGAGACAACCAUGGGCAUAUUUAUUUUCUCUCCCAUCUAUCCUCACCCAGCAUAGAGUACGGGAAGGGGUACAUAUGAGUAAUCAAGUGGGAAGGAACAAAACAAAGGCCAUGGAAUAAAAUACCCCAAGGAGAUUGGAUAUUCACUAAUGUUCUACCUCCGGUCACAGCCCUGGGAGAAUGCUAGGAACUGAUUCAGAACAGACAAGCUUUGAAAAGGCCUUGAUUGCCAAGGUUAAUGCACAUUUGGAUUCAGUACAUGCAUCCAGUUCAGGAAAAGUGAGCCUAAAUAUGCAUCAUUUGGUCUUAUUUCUGGCCUACAGCACAUGCUGAGUUAUAGCUUUCUUCACUCAUAUUUUCUCCAUUGUAGAGGAUCUGAACUCAGUUUUUAAACCACAAAUAAAAUCACUGUGAUCCAAAACUGAGGGAGGCUUUGAGAUAAGGAACAUUUUUACAAAUACAAAAUGAACCUGCCCAACAUCCCCUAAGAACAGAAAUAGAUCAUGGUCCUGCACAUCUUCUACUCCACACCAAGAACCAUCAUAUUUACCCUGGAAGCAGGCAGGGUCUACAACAGAGCUCACUCCUGAACCCAAGUGCUUUCCCAGGAAGCCACAGCUGUCCAGAACACAUAACCAGGUAAGCACGUGACCCUGGGAGCUGGGCAGAUGUCUUGGUAUCUACAGUGUAAUUUCUCCCAGCUGUCCAUGAACAUCUGUGAGAAUUUGGAAUGCUUCAGGAUUGGAAUAGGUGAAAGGUGGUGUCUGAAAAAUAAAUUUAUGAUAUCUUAAAGGGAGUAAAUUAGGAUUCAUUUAUUCAUUUGUGAAUGGAAUAUAUGCAUGAAUAUUUAUUAAAUGGCUACAAUAUGUCAGUCUCUGUGCUAUGUGCAAUAUGGGGAAUAUAGAGUGAAUUUCAAGGAAUUUACUUUUAAAAUUAAGGUAUAUGAGAUCUGAAUAACUGUUGUACAAUAUGGAAGUUUCUGCUUUAGGAUACAAAAAUGUGGAAGAAGGAUACAUCAUUCUAAUUGAAGGAAACUAGAGGAGGCCAAGUGAACAGGGUUCAGCCAUGUGGAAUGGAGACAGGAAGGGGAACUCAGUGAGGGGGAGGGCUAUGGGAACUCCUGGGUCAGGGAACCCCAUGCAUGGAUCACAGGAAGGAAUAGCGACUAGGUCCAGCAUUGCACUAGUGAGUGAAUGAAUCAAAGUGGAGAGAAAUGAGACUGGAAAGAUGGAGGGGUGGGGGUGACCACUGAACACUGGACCAGGUAGUUUUGAGGGUGAAAAUUAAGCAAUAUGGAAUAUUAAAGAUCUGUCAUAGCAUAGAAGAUAGAUUGAAGAGCAGAGACUGGCAUGAAGGAGACUGAUGAGUUCUGGAGAGAAGGGACAAUAGCCUGGAAGACGAGGUGGCAGUGGGGACAGACAGGAAGGAAGAGGAUAUUACACAAAUGGAAUCCACAGACCAGACAACAGACUGGGGACAAGAGAAGGUCAAAUGCAAUGCUGGAGUUUUGGUUGGGUGUGCAGAAGAAACAUACAGUUAAUACAGUUAAUAGUAACAGCUCAAAGAACUUUCUUUUUUUUUAUUAAAAAAAGAUGCUAUUAUGAAGCAAUGUGAUGUAGAUGCUUAAUGUCUUUUACCUGAGGUCAAAAUCCAAUUUAAACACUGCAAGCUCCCUAUUCCCAUACACUGUAAUUUGGGUAAAGUUGAAUGACUUGACUUAGGCUUAUGAGAAAGAGGAGAAAUAAAAUAUUUCUAAAUGGUCACUGUGGGUAUAAAAUCAGCAUAAAGUUUCUUGGUAUUUAUCAUUCUGAUUAUCCCACUAAUGUUUUUGGAAAUCAUUACAAAGAGCCAGAGUUUCACAAGCCCUAAAUAGAGCAAAUGGCUAAUUUCAGGUACAUUGACUUUGUUGAUCAUGAUUUAAAGAUUCAUGUUGGAAUAGAAGAGCAUCUAGUCCAAUCCAAGUUUAUUUUGAAAGUACAGUCAGUCCACUUCAUGGAUAAGGUGUUUUCUAAUUGACUGAAACACCAGGCUGGCUGGUCUCUAAGCCAGCCUGUCAAUACCCAUACUGUACACAGAAAACCAGGGUAACCCCAGCACCAUCUCUUAGGCCAAGUGAUUAACUGCACAUCGGUCAUUUAGUGUAAUAAAUGUGAAGUCGGAGCAACUGAGUGUUGCCCCAGGCCUCCUGCUGUGAAAAUACAUGCCCUCCCACUUUGGCAAGCUUAGAGCAGACCCAAGGAAUUUGUCUGAAAUGUUACAGAACAAUGAGCACUCUUACAGUGCGAAAGAAAGCCUCCAUGUAGUUGAUCCUACCUGUCAGGCAGUGUGGACUGUGCUAUGAUCACUGCCCUCUCAGUUUGAAAGAAAUCUACUUUAAUGAGAAACAAAAACUGACCCUUUAGUGAUCAUUAAGAUCUCAUUUUUUUUAUAAAAACUUGAUGUGUAUCAGCUUUAAUGAUUGUUACAUCUAGUUUAGGAGAAACCAUGGAUACCAGCUUACAGAAGGAAUGAAGAUUCCAUUUUGAAAAAUCUCUUGCCUGUUUUUAGGAAUCAGAGAAAGACGAAAAGUAGAUGCUGUGACGAUGGAAUCUAUUUAUCUCUAAGGGGCUACACAAAAGGCAUUGCCUUUUGUUAUGAUUCCUCAACCAAUUAAGGAAAUGGGCUGCAUUUAAUAUGCCCAGUUUUGACUCUGUCAAUUUAUUAAGCCAACAAAAUAGUUAAUAUAAUCUGGUUAUUAAUUCUAGUUAAUGUCUCUUCCUAGAUUAUUUGAUCCAGGUUAUUGCUGCUGUAAAAAGGAUGUGGCAUCACAUAAAAUGCAGCAACUGUUUGAUCAAAUUAAGUGGUAUCACUUGGGGCAGGGCAUAUUGAAAUCAAUGUCCUCACGUGUCUGCUUGCCAUCCUCAGAAAUUUGCCUCUGACCUGCAAUAAAUAGUUGUGGUUCUUGAGCUAUUUAAGCCUGAUUAAGGUAUUUGUUAUGCAUUUGCUGGUACACUGGGUGCACAGUGUCAAUUCUCAGCUGUCAUUGUCAUGAUUAAAAAGGGUAGAAGGGAGUGACCCCUAUGUGGGACAAGUUGCAAUAAAUAAUAAGGAUGCCAUGAACCUCUAAACCAAUCACUGAGUUUAGCCAAAGUGAAUAAAAACCCUCGUAAGAUCUCUAACCAAAAAAGUUGCUAAGCAAAUAAUGCUGGAUUUUUUUUUUAUUAAUGAUUACUUUCCAUUGCCCAGCUAUUGUUAGGAGAUCUUGUUAUAUGAAUACAAAUGAUAAGGAUGUAACUGACUUCAGAGAAGCACUCCACCUAGGUGAGGGUUGGUUCUUGGGAAGUUUUUUUUAAAUUCGGAAAACUAUUUAUGUUAAGGAAGGCAAUGCAAUCAAAGCUCCAGCAAUGAGAUGGCAUCUACAGGAGGGGAAACCAGAUAUAUAACUGGAUUAAAAAUCUUAGAAGCACUUAAAAAAAAAAAGGACAUGUGUUCAUUGGCUCUUUGUUUACAAGUCCUAAGAAUGGGCCAAGACAGCAAUUAAUGCCAGUUUCUCAUCUCAAGAGCUGCAAAGACAAGCAGUGUAAUGUCAAACAACCAGUGUGCCUGACUUAUUCACCAAGCUGUCUGAGACACUCUUCCUCUGUUGAAGCCCACUUUUUAGCAAUGAUGAAUAACAACACUGGGUUAACAAUAGCAAUAAAAACGUUAAUCACAACUUCUACUAAAAAUCCACCACGACACAGGCAUUGUGUUGAACACUUUGUAUGGAUUAAUUUUUUACUCCUAACACCAACAACCCAGGUUGAUAGCGUUAUUACCUCUGUUUUUCAAAAGAAGGAAAAGGUUAAGUAGCCUGCCUUGCAUAAUAUGUGAUGGAUUUUGGCUUCUACUUAGGCAGUCUGACUCUUGUUCCUGUUCUUCCCUCCAUUAUUCUAUAUAAUUCCUUCCUAAAUGCAAUUCAUGUGGACAGAUUUUUAAAAAUUGAAUGUUGUUUAAUUGCAUCAGGCUUCUUUUUUAUUUUAAAAGAUUCCUAAAGUCAUGACUUUUAUAAAAUGAUUAUCAUCCGUUCAUUUAAGAAAUGUUUAUUAAGUAUCUGCUACAUUCCUGGGACUGCUAAUGUUAAGGAAAUGAAAAAUAAGAUAGGGUCCCUGACUUUAGAAAAUCCUAUAUCAACUCAGUUAAUUUAAAUGAGGUACAACUAUAUUCAUAUGUAUGUGUUCAGGCCAUAACCAUGGUCUUUGUGCUUUUAAUAUGACAGUUAACCACUAAUGUAGAUUUUCAUGCCAUGAACUCUAGAGCCUACUUUAUUAUUUUUCCAAAGUGGAAGUAACUUCUAUUUUUUUGGUACCGGGGAUCGAACUCAGGUCCUUGAGCUUGCACAGGAGGCAGCGAAACCACUGAGCUAAAUCCCCGGCCCCUGUAACUUCUAUUUUUGUGGCCAAUUGUAAAACAAAUCAGACAGUGCAUAGUACCAUAAAAAAUGAAAUAUUCCGUAAUCCUUAUCCAAUAACAGUAAUUAUUAAUACUUUUGUACAUUUCUUACUGCCUUCAAGGUUUUUUUUUUUUUUCAUUUUUCUUUUCUAUGGAAACUGAGAUAUACUGUCUUUGGUGUUUCAUGACCUGCUCAGUAGACCUGCUAAUGAUACCAGGUAACAUGUACUUUUUUUGGGUCAAAAAAAAAAGUUUAGAAAAUCAGUCAAUCCUGCAUAGUAGUUUAUUUAACCACACUUUAUUUUGCCAAUCCUCUUUGAUGGACAUUUAAAUUGUUUUAGUAUUUCUAUUUUUUAAAUAAAUUUUUUUUUGUAAACAACUUUUGAUGGACUCUUGUGCAUAAUUCUCUUCUCUCUCUUUUAGUCGCUGAAGAGUAAUUUCCAGUAAUAGCAUUACAAAGCCCAGGCCCAUUUUUGAAAGGCCUUCGAUAAAAUUUACAAAUUAUUUUCUGGACAGUUUGUAAUAAUCUUCUCUCUUAGAAGUAUUGGAUGAGAUUCCCUACUUUCAAAGCUCAUGACGAUCGAUAUGAUGAAAAUAAUGGCCAAUAUUUAUAUGGCAUCUGAUCACAAUAAAAUGUUUUAAAAUAUGUUAUUUCAUCUGUACCUUAUGACUCCGUGAGGUCAGUAAGGUCAAUUUAUUAUCCUCAAUUUCUGGCCAAGGAAGUCCAUGUUUUGCAAGGUGAAAUUCUUUCUGGCUCUAGCUCUCCCAGGGGUGUCCUCCUGCCUACCACAGUGAUGUCUGUGUAGCCCUUCCCCCCUGUUCUUUCCAGCUGCCUGGCAGAGGUCAGUCUGACUCCUUGGUCCUUUUCAGCCCCAGGACAGCGGCAGGAGGGAGGGGGUGUUCCACCCCCAUUGGGGCUGCCUCCUCAACUGGAGGGUGGGGAAGGAGAUAAGUACAGAAUCCUUCUCCAGUGCCAGCCAGGCUCUCCCUCCUCUUCAGCCACAGAGACUAAUGAAUCAGAGACUAUUACGUGGUAAAAAAUGCAGAUUUCUGCUGUCCUUACUAAUGAGAGAAAAAUAUAGUAGACCACUGGCCUAAAGGCUCCAGAUGCAAUUCCUUUGUAACUUAGAGUGCAUUAAAAAAGCUUCAGUCAGCAAGAUAAGUUAAUUUUUUUAUGACCUUUAUAAACUCUUUUAGCCUGUAUCUCAGGAUCUUCUCUUAAAGAUUAAAUUUUUAAAAAUCCUUUUAGCUCAGGCCGACAUAGCAUCUGAAUCUUUUUUGCUUCAAAGGCUACAUCCAAAAAUCUAUAAAGAGAUCCUGUUCGGGACAAUUAUUAUCAAAGUAAUGAUUAGCUAACAUGUCAUUUUUAGUUUUUACCCUUCUUGCCUCUGCAAUGCUAAUCCAAUAGAGCUCACUUCUUCUUAAUGUAAAAGUUGCAUAAAGGAUGCAUCAUUCCCAGCUGACUUUGCCUACAUUUGCAAAUUGAAUUGUCAUCGGAGGCACCUCUUUCAUGUGACUAUUGGGUCAAAGUGGGGGUGUGGGGCACAGAUAUAUCAUGAUUUUAUUAAAAGGAAAAUAAAUCCUCAACUAAGAACUGCCAUGUUGUAUUCAUAUAUAACUGAGGCCAUAGGCUUUAGUAAACCAUAGGGCUCUGUUUCCUGGGGUGAUG
ensembl:lncRNA